rnacentral:lncRNA from 1 species
AGGAGGUCGGCCAAGGAGCUCAUGAAUAGUCCCCACAGGACCUGUGUGCUCUGACAGCUAAUGGUCUAGCAUAGGGGGACUGUCACCUUGGCCAGUAAUCAACCAGCCCACCUGUUGGUAGAGGGCAGUGAAACUGCGGCCACUCUACAUCCCCCCACCAGUAUAAGAAUCUUCUGAGCAGAUGAGCGUGGCCUGAGUUGUGAGGUAUCACUGAAAAGAAGUAGGGCUUUUGCCUCAUUUCUGCCAUAGAGCAUGAGAAUGUGGGCCAGAGAGGCCAGGUUGCUACCUGUUACUCAGAUGGGUGGUGUGAAGCCUCCAGGUCACCAAGCUUGAAGCUCCUGCUUCAUAUCUUGCUCACGUUGUCAUAUCAUCUUAAAUGCUUCUUUAAAUGUGUGGUGUUUCUUAAAUGUGUGGUGAUGCACGCCUGCAGUCCCAGCUACUUGGGAGGGUGAGGUAGGGGAUAGCAGGUUUGAGGCCAGCCUGGGCAACUUAGCAAAGCCCUAUGUCAGAAUUCUCAAAAGGGCUGAGGGUGUAUCUCUGGUGGAGCACCUCUGGUUUUAAUCUGUAGUCCCUUAAGUCAGAGGAUGCUCCUUUGGCUGGGCAGGAGGGCCAUCGCUGAAGAGCUCCUCAGGCAGAAGAGGCGUCCUGUGUUUCAGCAGCCUGUGCUCCUGGCUAGUGCUGAGUUUCAGGCUGGCCAAGUGUGGGGAGCCACUCCAAAUGCACGCCAAAUUAAGUCCAUGGGGAUAGGAAAGAUCACAGCAGUCUGGCGGGGUAGUGCCAUGACUGGGGAUUCGGUCUUUUCCCUGGCUCAGAUAAUAAAGUGUGGCCCCGGGAGUGGCCCUGGGAGUAGGCGGCACCCAGAGGGAUUGAGCUACACUCACCAGUUCCCUUGGAAUCCUAGCCCUUGCCUCAUUUGAAUGGCUUCUUCCCAAUAAAAGGGUUCAGUAAGUGCUCGUUCUACUUGCUCUGGCACACUCUCGCUCUCCCCCGCCCCCGCCCUCUCUGUCUUUCCACGGACCCCUAAGGUCAGAGGAGCUGUCACAGGACCCAAAGAAAAAAGUAUUUCUGUGUCUGUGGUUAUGUGGUGCAGCCCAGUUCCCCUGGAGCGACCUGAGUGUGCAGUUGUGAAACGCCACAGCAGAGCCCCACUCCACAGGGCCUAGCACUGCAGCAGUCAUUGUUAGGGUCAGAAUUGAUUUCGUGGAUGCUGUAGCAGAGCCAGGGCAGGUUACUUAGAGGCAUUGCCAGCUUGGAAGGAGCCUGUACUCCCCACUCUCCUGCUUUUUCCUGUCAAAGGGCAACAAUGCAGGCGCUGAGGCCACAGUUCAUCAUCAUGGUGGGUCGGAGGUGUGUCCUUGAAACCUGAUGGAGGUGCUGGUUGCUCUCUAUUAAGAAUGAGCCACCCAGGGCUGGGGAUGUGGCUCAAGUGGUAGCGCGCUCACCUGGCAUGCAUGUG